UACGUAGGGUGCAAGCGUUGUCCGGAAUUAUUGGGCGUAAAGAGCUCGUAGGCGGCUCGUUGCGUCGGCUGUGAAAACCCGCAGCUCAACUGUGGGCUUGCAGCUGAUACGGGCGGGCUGGGAUUCGGUAGGGGAGACUGGAAUUCCUAGUGUAGCGGUGAAAUGCGCAGAUAUCAGGAGGAACACCGGUGGCGAAGGCGGCAUCCUGGACCGGCAUUGACGCUGAGGAGCGAAAGCCAGGGGAGCAAACGGG
rnacentral:rRNA from 1 species